ensembl:lncRNA
UGUUAAAAAUGCAAGCCUAAAAAUCAAAGCACAUAGAGCAAACAUGAGAGUACACUGUAUAGGAAUAGCUGAUGUGGACAAAUCACUCACCCAUGGUACAGGCACUGAAGGGAAUUCUCUUAUAUCAUGUAUUCUCUUAUAUUAUGAACUGCUAUUAAGACACCUUAGAUACGGGGAAUUCUGUGUUAUAGUUUCUGUUUGUGUGUCUCUGUGCUAUCAAAUACCUAUGAUGAAUGUAUUCACUUAAUUACCUCUUCUGAAUAAGCUGAUCAACUGCUAUCCUUUAUUAUAGCUGACACAUGUGUUCUCUAUAUCUUGAAAAGACUUAUUAUUGUAGUGUGCUGUGUGUUUUGUCUACAUCCUUCUAGCACCUGCACAAGUAGAAACCCGCCCACGCAAUGUUGUUAUCUAUGUGUAUAAAUACUUCUGUUCUAGACUACAUAAACUGGAAGUCUCUGUGAACAGCAUGUGUGUCAGUGUGUAUGUUCAUUUAGACUCUCCAGGCACCUGGAUACUCUGUGGUAAACCGCACUUCCUAGCUCAUAGCAGCACAGAAAUAAGAGUUAAGAGAAAUAAAAGGCUGUAAGGCUGACCGAGGACUGAAAGACAUAAUUCAGACACAGUGGGAGAAUGUAAAACUCGUCCUUGGUAGAAGGCAUCGAGGGUAAGUAAAGAUUAAGCAAAAUGGUAGAGAACAUAUAGGCAAAUAGUGACGUUCACUGGAGGGAAAAGUAAACCAAGAGAAACACAAUGGUUCAUCUACAGAUGCAUUAAUUGGAAAAACUUGGGGCCUGUUAGAAGUAAUGGGAAAUGAUGUAACUAGGUUAUGUGUGGAAGAUUGUGAUUGGAUGCACCCAAAAGGGAACUGUGAAUGAUUGGUUAAAGUUAGAUAUGGUGCCAUGCCUGAAAUGUAUAUAAAGAGCAUUGUAACCGACGGUGCUUUGCUGCAAGCUACAUCUCCAUGUAGUGUGUAUCCCUGGGACCAGUUCGGGUUAUUUUCUGUCUUGCUGAUAAACCUUCUUCAUCCGAAUCCAGUCUUCGUGAGUUCUGCUGUGUUAUUUCUCCUAAGAAGAAGUCAGGGUACACUCUCCCACACACAGAGGAAGCCACACUAAAGUUAGGCAUUACAUGAAGUGCUACAACACACACGCACACACAGGAUCAAAUAUAAGGAAUAGAUGUUUAUCAUAAAUAAUGAUAAGAAGAAGACAAUAGCAAUGAUUGCAGAAAGCAAGUCAAAUGUAUGCACUCACCCAUAGUGAACAGGAACGGGAGAUUGAAGAAAAAAGUCAAGGUCUUCACGCGUUGAUGACCAAAAUGAUCAUGCCUUAGGGAGCCGAUGAGGUUUUUAUAACAGGGAAAAUGAAAACAGACGAACAUAAGGGAACGGGGGAAAAACUUAAAAGAGAAACGUAACGGGCAUGAGAAAAAAACUGAAACAUAAACAUAUUGCGCUGGGAAAAACAGCAGCGCCUCCGGGCCCAUUUAGUUGCCGAAUGGGGGGGGGGGGGGGGGUUACUUUAUAUGUGAACAUCAUUUACAGUAUUGUGCAAAAGUUUUAGGCACCCUACUUUUUUUUUUUUAGCACAAACUUUGUUAUGGAUUUUUUUUUAUCUUAUGACUUCUACAUUAUCGAGUCAGUACAAAAACAUUUGAGAUUUCCAAACAUUAGUUUUCCAGCACAAAAUGAAAUGUUAGUAAAUGGUCUGCGCUUAUAUAGCGCUCUUUUUUUAACCUUAGCAGUUCCAAAGCGCUUUACACUGGUUCUCAUUUACCCAUUCACACACCAAUGGUAGCAGAUGUGCCAUGCAAGGCGCUAGCUUCAGCGUCUUGCCCAAGGACACUUCGGCAUGUGGAGUCGUGUGGGGUGGGAAUCGAACCGCCAACCCUACGGUUAGCAGGUUGAAUAGCGGACCCUACGGUUAGCAAGUUGAUUAGCGGAGCCUACGGUUAGCAGGUUGAUUAGCAGAGCCUACGGUUAGCAGGUUGAUUAGCGGACCCUACGUUCAGCAGGUUGAAUAGCGGACCCUACGGUUAGCAGGUUGAUCAGCGGAGUCUACGGUUAGCAGGUUGAUUGACCCGCUCUACCACCUGAGCCACAGCCACCCUAUGUUACCGAAAAAUGUUUUUAUGUAAGUAAUGAAAGCAGUAUAUUACAUAAGAGACCACUUUUCAGACAAAAAACACAAUGAAGGCUGCUGGGUUUUGCUGCAAAAAUAAGAAGCGAGUGCGACAGUCAAAGUCUCCAGAAGAACCGUGUCUGGAUCUGCAAAAUGCUCAAUAAAACUUAACAGCUUAUUUCCUUAUAAAACUACACAAACUGUACCAGACUAUUUCAUUUUUUCAUUUACUACUGUUUACGGUAUUUUUUUAAAAAUGUAGAAACAUUUAAUUUCAAAGCAUUGUCAAAACAUUUAAAGGCAUCUUUGCAGCAUUCCUUUGCAUGUACCUAAAACUUUUGCACAGUACUGUAAGCUUUUAACAUGUUGGAUGUGGGAACACUCAUUACUACUUAAUGUACAAUCUGUAUUUUUAGAGAAUGUCCAUAUUAUUGUCUGCCUCUUUUGUUGUAGGAACUUAUGUUAAUCAGCCUUAUCCUCUAUGCUGCGUGUUUAUGAAGUGAUCGUGACCCAGAUGCCAUGGCAAAAAGAUACAUUAACAUCAUACACAGAGUAUCCACUACAUUAUACAUUGCAUUGCUGAGGAUUGUCAAAAGAGACCCAGAGAUAGUAGCAGUAGUAGAAAUAGCA